rnacentral:rRNA from 1 species
CAAUAGCGUAUAUUAAAGUUGUUGCAGUUAAAAAGCUCGUAGUUGGAUUUCUGGUAGGAGUGACCGUUCCGAACUUGAUUGUUCGUGUAUUGUGUUUUCUCCAGCCAUCCUUGUGGAGAACUUUUCUUGCAUUAAUUUGUAGGGAUUGGGACCCGCAUCGUUUACUGUGAAAAAAUUAGAGUGUUUAAAGCAGGCAAUCGCUUGAAUACAUUGGCAUGGAAUAAUAAGAUAGGACUUUGGUACUAUUUUGUUGGUUUGCAUACCAAAUUAAUGAUCAACAGGAACAGUUUGAGGAUAUUCGUAUGAACAUGUCAGAGGUGAAAUUCUUGGAUUUUGAUCAGACGAACUACUGCGAAAGCAUUUAUCAAGGAUGUUUUCAUUAA